rnacentral:misc_RNA from 1 species
UUAAGUUCAGCGGGUAGUCCUACCUGAUUUGAGAUCAAACAUUCAAAGAGCUGUCCUCGCUGAGGAGAGACAUUUAUGAGCCCCAGCGAACCUUCAUCACUGAAGGUUACCUGGUGGAAAACCACAAGCGUAGAUAGUUAUCACACCCGUGAUUGCCACCAAACACUGGCAAGCUGAUCAAUUUGAGAGGAGCUGACCAU